rnacentral:rRNA from 1 species
CCUACGGGCGGCAGCAGUGAGGAAUAUUGGUCAAUGGACGGAAGUCUGAACCAGCCAUGCCGCGUGCAGGAAGACGGCUCUAUGAGUUGUAAACUGCUUUUGUACAAGGGUAAACCUGAAUACGUGUAUUCAGCUGAAAGUACUUUACGAAUAAGGAUCGGCUAACUCCGUGCCAGCAGCCGCGGUAAUACGGAGGAUCCAAGCGUUAUCCGGAUUUAUUGGGUUUAAAGGGUGCGUAGGCGGAUUGAUAAGUUAGAGGGGAAAUGUCCGAGCUUAACUCGGGAACUGCCUUUAAUACGGUUGAUCUAGAGAGUAGAUGCGGUAGGCGGAAUGUAUGGUGUAGCGGUGAAAUGCUUAGAGAUCAUACAGAACACCGAUUGCGAAGGCAGCUUACCAAUCUAUAUCUGACGUUGAGGCACGAAAGCGUGGGGAGCAAACAGGAUUAGAUACCCUGGUAGUC